AUACGUAGGGGGCGAGCGUUGUCCGGAAUGAUUGGGCGUAAAGGGCACGUAGGCGGCCCGGUAAGUCUGGAGUGAAAGUCCUGUUUUUAAGAUGGGAAUUGCUUUGGAUACUGUCGGGCUUGAGUGCAGGAGAGGUAAGUGGAAUUCCCAGUGUAGCGGUGAAAUGCGUAGAGAUUGGGAGGAACACCAGUGGCGAAGGCGACUUACUGGACUGUAACUGACGCUGAGGCGCGAAAGUGUGGGGAGCAAACAGGAUUAGAUACCCUGGUAGUCCACACUGUAAACGAUGAAUGCUAGGUGUAGGGGGUAUCGACCCCUUCUGUGCCGCAGUCAACACAAUAAGCAUUCCGCCUGGGGAGUACGGCCGCAAGGUUGAAACUCAAAGGAAUUGACGGGG
rnacentral:rRNA from 1 species